GACGAACGCUGGCGGCGUGCUUAACACAUGCAAGUCGAACGGAAAGGCCCUGCUUUUGUGGGGUGCUCGAGUGGCGAAAGGGUGAGUAACACGUGAGUAACCUGCCCUUGACUUUGGGAUAACUUCAGGAAACUGGGGCUAAUACCGGAUAGGAGCUCCUGCUGCAUGGUGGGGGUUGGAAAGUUUCGGCGGUUGGGGAUGGACUCGCGGCUUAUCAGCUUGUUGGUGGGGUAGUGGCUUACCAAGGCUUUGACGGGUAGCCGGCCUGAGCGGGUGACCGGCCACAUUGGGACUGAGAUACGGCCCAGACUCCUACGGGAGGCAGCAGUGGGGAAUAUUGCACAAUGGGCGGAAGCCUGAUGCAGCAACGCCGCGUGCGGGAUGACGGCCUUCGGGUUGUAAACCGCUUUCGCCUGUGACGAAGCGUGAGUGACGGUAAUGGGUAAAGAAGCACCGGCUAACUACGUG
rnacentral:rRNA from 1 species